GAUGAAGAACGUAGCGAAAUGCGAUACGUAAUGUGAAUUGCAAAUUCAGUGAAUCAUCGAAUCUUUGAACGCACAUUGCGCCCCUUGGUAUUCCGGGGGGCAUGCCUGUUCGAGCGUCAUUAUAACCCCUCAAGCUCAGCUUGGUGUUGGGGCCUGCCAACUGGCAGCCCUUAAAAUCAGUGGCGGCGCCAUCUGGCUCUAAGCGUAGUAAUUUCUCUCGCUAUAGGGUCCCGGUGGAUGCUUGCCAACAACCCCCAAUUUUCUAUGGUUGACCUCGGAUCAGGUAGGGAUACCCGCUGAACUUAAGCAUAUCAAUAAGCGGAGGA
rnacentral:misc_RNA from 1 species